rnacentral:rRNA from 1 species
GACGAACGCUGGCGACGCGCUUAACACAUGCAAGUCGAACGGAAAGGCCUGCGUUCCCUUGUGGAUUGCGGGUACUCGAGUGGCGAACGGGUGAGUAACACGUGAGUGAUCUGCCCCCAACUUGGGUAUAAGCCUGGGAAACUGGGUCUAAUUCCCGAUAGGACUGCAGGGUGGUGCCUGUGGUGGAAAACGAUUUUCUAGUGGUUGGGGAUGAGCUCGCGGCCUAUCAGCUUGUUGGUGGGGUAAUGGCCUACCAAGGCGGCGACGGGUAGCCGGCCUGGGAGGGUGGGCGGGCACAUUGGGACUGAGAUACGGCCCAGACGCCAACGGGAAGACGCAGAGGGGAGUAAUGCGUGAUGAGCGGAAGACUGAGGCAGAGAGGCCGCGUGGGGGAUGACGGCCUUCGGGUUGUAGACUCCUUUCGACCGAGAGGAAGCCGCCUGGUUGGAGGGGUGGUGACGGUAGUGGUAGAAGAAGCACCGGCUAACUACGUG